AAUAUUGGACAAUGGGCGAAAGCCUGAUCCAGCAAUGCCGCGUCAGUGAUGAAGGCCUUAGGGUUGUAAAGCUCUUUUACCAGGUAUGAUAAUGACAGUACCCUGAGAUUAAGCUCCGUCUAACUCCGUGCCAGCAGCCGCGGUAAUACGGAGGGAGCUAGCGUUGUUCGGAAAUUCUGGGCGUAAAGCGCACGUAGGCGGCGCCGUAAGUCAGGGGUGAAAUCCUGGGGCUCAACCCCGGAACUGCCUUUGAAACUGCAGUGCUAGAAUCUUGGAGAGGUCAGUGGAAUUCCGAGUGUAGAAGUGAAAUUCGUAGAUAUUCGGAAGAACACCAGUGGCGAAGGCGACUGACUGGACAAGUAUUGACGCUGAGGUGCGAAAGCGUGGGGAGCAAACAG
rnacentral:rRNA from 1 species